GUCGGGCUGGUGAGGGCCUGGGUGCACCUUGCGGCCCCGCCCCACCCACGGGCACCAACCACGGGCACCAACCACGGGCACCCGAGCGCUCUUCCUAGCCCUGGGAACCGUGCAAACCAAGAGAGGGCUUCGGCUGUGUUCACUGCUACUUCGUGACUCCUCUGGGUUAAUAACGUGCCUCUCUGCAAACGGACCGGGUGCAGCUAUGUUAAUUUGUGCACUCUCAUGAUCUAAUCUACGACUUCUGGGUGGGUGUCAGUCUUUGCCUGAGGCUGGAAACUUUCAACUUUUUUCUUUUUAAGAUUUUAUUUAUUUAUUCAUGAAAGACACACAGAGGCAGAGACACAGGCAGAGGGAGAAGCAGGCUCCAUGCAGGGAGCCCGACGUGGGACUCGAUACCAGGACUCCAGGAUCACGCCCUGGGCCAAAGGCAGGCGCUAAACCGCUGAGCCACCCAGGGAUUCCAAGGCUGGAAACUUUUAACUAGACUUUUAUAAUACAUAUACUCUUAGAUCUAAUUGGGACAUAAUUGGGGAAUUAGCCAUACCUGUUGAUGCUCAUAUUUGACUCUAUUAUUUUUAUUCAUGGAGAAAUGACCCAGCACAGAUCAUCUGAAAGAGUAGAUCGCUCCGAAAAGCAUUUCAUGGACUUAUAAUACCAGCUCCUAGAGAAAGAUUUUCAUUGGCCCAGAGUGGGUCAGGGGAGCUUCCUCAAUCAAAGGAAUGUUGGUCCCUGGGGAGAAAUGCAGAACAAGUAUUGGAUGAGUACACUCCAGCUGGGAAGAAUGCUAUUUGUCUUUCAUGAUGAGAGUCCUAGCCAUUGGUGAACUCCCAGGAGUGAAGGUAAGAGCCUCUUUACUUUUCCGCCUGGAUCUCCCAGGAGCACAGGGAAUGUC